CAGUCGCCGCGGGAAUACGUAGGUGGCAAGCGUUGUCCGGAAUUAUUGGGCGUAAAGGGCUCGCAGGCGGUUUCUUAAGUCUGAUGUGAAAGCCCCCGGCUCAACCGGGGAGGGUCAUUGGAAACUGGGAGACUUGAGUGCAGAAGAGGAGAGUGGAAUUCCACGUGUAGCGGUGAAAUGCGUAGAGAUGUGGAGGAACACCAGUGGCGAAGGCGACUCUCUGGUCUGUAACUGACGCUGAGGAGCGAAAGCGUGGGGAGCGAACAGGAUUAGAUACCCCAGUAGUCCCUGUCUCUUAUAC
rnacentral:rRNA from 1 species